rnacentral:misc_RNA from 1 species
AACCGCCGUAUACCGAACGGUACGUACGGUGGUGUGAGAGGUCGGGGGCUGGCGCCCCUCCUAUUCGAU